rnacentral:tRNA from 1 species
AAUGUGGAGCCUGAUUAAAGGAUUAUCGUGAUAGGAUAAAAUAUGUAAUGAAACAUUACCCACAUUA